GAUGAACGCUGGCGGCGUGCUUAACACAUGCAAGUCGAACGGAAAGGCCCAAGCUUGCUUGGGUACUCGAGUGGCGAACGGGUGAGUAACACGUGGGUGAUCUGCCCUGCACUUCGGGAUAAGCCUGGGAAACUGGGUCUAAUACCGGAUAGGACCACUUCUUGGAUGUUGUGGUGGAAAGUUUUUUCGGUGUGGGAUGAGCUCGCGGCCUAUCAGCUUGUUGGUGGGGUAAUGGCCUACCAAGGCGUCGACGGGUAGCCGGCCUGAGAGGGUGUACGGCCACAUUGGGACUGAGAUACGGCCCAGACUCCUACGGGAGGCAGCAGUGGGGAAUAUUGCACAAUGGGCGCAAGCCUGAUGCAGCGACGCCGCGUGGGGGAUGACGGCCUUCGGGUUGUAAACUCCUUUCGCUAGGGACGAAGCGUUUUUGUGACGGUACCUGGAGAAGAAGCACCGGCUAACUACGUGCCAGCAGCCGCGGUAAUACGUAGGGUGCGAGCGUUGUCCGGAAUUACUGGGCGUAAAGAGCUCGUAGGUGGUUUGUCGCGUCGUUUGUGUAAGCCCGCAGCUUAACUGCGGGACUGCAGGCGAUACGGGCAUAACUUGAGUGCUGUAGGGGAGACUGGAAUUCCUGGUGUAGCGGUGGAAUGCGCAGAUAUCAGGAGGAACACCGAUGGCGAAGGCAGGUCUCUGGGCAGUAACUGACGCUGAGGAGCGAAAGCAUGGGUAGCGAACAGG
rnacentral:rRNA from 1 species